CUAACUUAAAAGCCUCUUUUCUUAUGACUAGAAGAAACAGAUGACAUGUUCUUGGUGAAAAUAAAAAUCACCCGGGAACACAUAGUGCUAAAGAAAAAUGGAAAAAAGGCAAAAGGGAAUCAAAGUGGAUCUGUCUAGACUGUACAUUUCUUCAGGCCUAGGACUGGCCUUAUUCCUUUCAUGCCACCAGUGGCAAGCAUGUGUCAGCAAGUGAGCUGAAUGAAGGAACCCAAAGCUCUCUUAUUUUUAGGUAGGAAAAGUUUUGUUUCAUUUUCUAUUUAGGUAGCACGGACAAUGAAAUACAUUAGCCAGUAAAUCUGUUAUUAUUGGAUUAAAAGUUAAUGAUGCUUUCUUGUUAUCAAAGGUUGGAGACAAGAAAAGUUGGAGACAAGAAAUGAGGACUUCAUUGACUGGUCUUAGACGUGAUUAUGACAUACUGCUUUCAUUGCCUAUGCCUUGUUAUCUUCCUAGGCCCAGGACCCUGGUCACAUCUUAUGAAAUGACAGGGCCUGUCUGGCUGUAUGGUUUGCUCAUCUGGUCUGGAGUUGGGGAAAUUUGUGGCAACGCACAAGUCACAGUGGUAUUGCAGGUGAGCACGACAAAACCACACUAAUGUAAAUCACUUGCAGAUUUCACAGUACAGAAUUUAGAUAUCUCACAACAGACCCUGAUAUACAGAAUCUCACAGCUCGUUACAAUUCCAUGUUUAAGGACUUUAGUUCUCAUUGCGGCAUGGAACAAGAACUCAUUGCCCUGGUCUUCUUGGGACUUCACUGUCAUAAAUUAGACUUUAUCUAUUUAUUCUGUCAGUUCACUGUUGAAACAUGGUGAUCUAUCUCAAUACUUAGUGGCUUACCAUUUGCCCAUCUGUUGGAAACUGGAUAAAGAAGAUGUGGUUUUUCUACAAAAUGGAAUACUACUCAGCCGUAAAGAAUGAGAAAUUAGAGUCAUUCAUAGGAAAAUGGAUACAUAUUGAGGAUAUACUCCUAAUUGAAAUAAAUAAGUCACACAUGUGUAAAUACCGAAUAGUCUCUGUGGUGUGAAAAACUAUAAUAGUACACAAGAUCCUAUUGGGCUAAUUAAUAGUGUGAAAUAGGAAGAAAAGGGCUAAAGGUGUAGGGAAAGUGGGAAGGGUAGGGGAAAGGGAACAAGGGAAAAGAAAAGAAUAUGAGAAUAUGAAAAAAUGGAAAUAAAGUGUUUGUAAAUGGGGAGGGGCAGAGGGGGUGAAAGGAGGGCAGGGACAAGGGAAAAAAUGAGAAC
rnacentral:lncRNA from 1 species